GACGAACGCUGGCGGCGUGCUUAACACAUGCAAGUCGAACGAUGAAGCCGGAGCUUGCUCUGGUGAAUUAGUGGCGAACGGGUGAGUAACACGUGAGUAACCUGCCCUUGACUCUGGGAUAACUGCUAGAAAUGGUAGCUAAUACCGGAUACGACCCUCGGAGGCAUCUCCAGGGGGUGGAAAGGAUUUCGGUCAAGGAUGGACUCGCGGCCUAUCAGCUAGUUGGUGAGGUAAUGGCUCACCAAGGCGACGACGGGUAGCCGGCCUGAGAGGGUGACCGGCCACACUGGGACUGAGACACGGCCCAGACUCCUACGGGAGGCAGCAGUGGGGAAUAUUGCACAAUGGGCGCAAGCCUGAUGCAGCAACGCCGCGUGAGGGAUGACGGCCUUUGGGUUGUAAACCUCUUUUAGUAGGGAAGAAGCGAAAGUGACGGUACCUGCAGAAAAAGCACCGGCUAACUACGUGCCAGCCGCCGCCGUAA
rnacentral:rRNA from 1 species